rnacentral:lncRNA from 1 species
UCAAUCCUGAACUAUGAGCUACUACUUCAGACUGAACCUACACAUCUGCAGUUGCUGUGAAAAGAGCAGUUCAUUUUCUGGACACUGAGAGACUGGAUAUUCACCAGGACGAGAGGAACCAGGCUAACUGCUCCUCACUACUGACCCACAGCUUGAUAAUGAACCUAAACAUUGACAGCAUUUCCUUCGGUGGUUUCGUGUUAAAAUGAAAAUGAAGAAGAGGAAAAAGUACUGUAAGUACCUGUAUUGAAGACCUUUACAUAAUGGCAUUAUGAAACCUGACCUUUGCAAAUAAUAUUCUUAUUGUUUAUUUCAG